AACGCACAUUGCGCCCGCUAGUAUUCUGGCGGGCAUGCCUGUCCGAGCGUCAUUUCAACCCAUCAAGCUUAGCGCUUGUGUUGGAGCCCUGCGGCCGCCGCAGCCUCCUAAAAUCAGUGGCGGGCUCGCUAUCACGCUGAGUGCAGUAGUAUUCUUCUCACUCCUGUGGUGUAGCGGGUGACCAGCCGUAAAACCCACCCAUAUCUAAAGGUUGACCUCGGAUCAGGUAGGAAUACCCGCUGAACUUAA
rnacentral:misc_RNA from 2 species